UCCGGUUGAUCCUGCCGGACCCGACCGCUAUCAGAGUGGGACUAAGCCAUGCGAGUCAACAUAGCAAUAUGUGGCAUACGGCUCAGUAACACGUAGUCAACAUGCCCAGGGGACGUGGAUAACCUCGGGAAACUGAGGAUAAACCGCGAUAAGUCACUGCUUCUGGAAUGGGCAAUGACUUAAAUCUAUAUGGCCCCUGGAUUGGACUGCGGCCGAUCAGGCUGUUGGUGAGGUAAUGGCCCACCAAAACCUGUAACCGGUACGGGCUCUGAGAGGAGGAGCCCGGAGAUGGGCACUGAGACAAGGGCCCAGGCCCUAUGGGGCGCAGCAGGCGCGAAACCUCUGCAAUAGGCGAAAGCCUGACAGGGUUACUCUGAGUGAUUUCCGUUAAGGAGAUCUUUUGGCACCUCUAAAAAUGGUGCAGAAUAAGGGGUGGGCAAGUCUGGUGUCAGCCGCCGCGGUAAUACCAGCACCCCGAGUGGUCGGGACGUUUAUUGUGCCUAAAGCAUCCGUAGCCGGUUCUGCAAGUCUUCCGUUAAAUCCACCUGCUUAACAGAUGGGCUGCGGAAGAUACUAUAGAGCUAGGAGGCGGGAGAGGCAAGCGGUACUCGAUGGGUAGGGGUAAAAUCCGUUGAUCCAUUGAAGACCACCAGUGGCGAAGGCGGCUUGCCAGAACGCGCUCGACAGUGAGGGAUGAAAGCUGGGGGAGCAAACCGGAUUAGAUACCCGGGUAGUCCCAGCUGUAAACGAUGCAGACUCGGUGAUGAAUUGGCUUUAUGCCAAUUCAGUGCCGCAGGGAAGCCGUUAAGUUUGCCGCCCGGGGAGUACGGUCGCAAGACUGAAACUUAAAGGAAUUGGCGGGGGAGCACCACAAGGGGUGAAGCCUGCGGUUCUGUUGGAGCAACGCCGGAAAUCUUACCGGGGGCGACAGCAGAAUGAAGGUCAAGCUGAAGACUUUACCAGACAAGCUGAGAGGAGGUGCAUGGCCGUCGCCAGCUCGUGCCGUGAGGUGUCCUGUUAAGUCAGGUAACGAGCAGACCCCUGCCUCUAGUUGCUACCAUUAUUCUCAGGAGUAGUGGAGCUAAUUAGAGGGACUGCCGUCGCUGAGACGGAGGAAGGAGGGGGCUACGGCAGGUCAGUAUGCCCCGAAACCCUCGGGCCACACGCGGGCUGCAAUGGUAAGGACAAUGAGUAUCGAUUCCGAAAGGAGGAGGCAAUCUCUAAACCUUACCACAGUUAUGAUUGAGGGCUGAAACUCGCCCUCAUGAAUAUGGAAUCCCUAGUAACCGCGUGUCACUAUCGCGCGGUGAAUACGUCCCUGCUCCUUGCACACACCGCCCGUCGCUUCAUCGAAGUUGGUUCUUGGCGAGGUGAUGCCUAAUUGGUACUAUCGAACCUGGGGUCAGCAACGAGGGAG
rnacentral:rRNA from 1 species